GGGUUGUGAGGUUAAGCGACUAAGCGUACACGGUGGAUGCCCUGGCAGUCAGAGGCGAUGAAGGGCGUGCUAAUCUGCGAUAAGCGCCGGUAAGGUGAUAUGAACCGUUAUAACCGGCGAUACCCGAAUGGGGAAACCCAGUGUGAUUCGUCACACUAUCAUUAACUGAAUCCAUAGGUUAAUGAGGCGAACCGGGGGAACUGAAACAUCUAAGUACCCCGAGGAAAAGAAAUCAACCGAGAUUCCCCCAGUAGCGGCGAGCGAACGGGGAGGAGCCCAGAGCCUGAAUCAGCAUGUGUGUUAGUGGAAGCGUCUGGAAAGGCGCGCGAUACAGGGUGACAGCCCCGUACACAAAAGCGCAUGUGCUGUGAGCUCGAUGAGUAGGGCGGGACACGUGGUAUCCUGUCUGAAUAUGGGGGGACCAUCCUCCAAGGCUAAAUACUCCUGACUGACCGAUAGUGAACCAGUACCGUGAGGGAAAGGCGAAAAGAACCCCGGCGAGGGGAGUGAAAAAGAACCUGAAACCGUGUACGUACAAGCAGUGGGAGCACCCUUUGGGUGUGACUGCGUACCUUUUGUAUAAUGGGUCAGCGACUUAUAUUCUGUAGCAAGGUUAACCGAAUAGGGGAGCCGGAGGGAAACCGAGUCUUAACCGGGCGUUAAGUUGCAGGGUAUAGACCCGAAACCCGGUGAUCUAGCCAUGGGCAGGUUGAAGGUUGGGUAACACUAACUGGAGGACCGAACCGACUAAUGUUGAAAAAUUAGCGGAUGACCUGUGGCUGGGGGUGAAAGGCCAAUCAAACCGGGAGAUAGCUGGUUCUCCCCGAAAGCUAUUUAGGUAGCGCCUCGUGAAUUCAUCUCCGGGGGUAGAGCACUGUUUCGGCUAGGGGGCCAUCCCGGCUUACCAACCCGAUGCAAACUGCGAAUACCGGAGAAUGUUAUCACGGGAGACACACGGCGGGUGCUAACGUCCGUCGUGAAGAGGGAAACAACCCAGACCGCCAGCUAAGGUCCCAAAGUCAUGGUUAAGUGGGAAACGAUGUGGGAAGGCCCAGACAGCCAGGAUGUUGGCUUAGAAGCAGCCAUCAUUUAAAGAAAGCGUAAUAGCUCACUGGUCGAGUCGGCCUGCGCGGAAGAUGUAACGGGGCUAAACCAUGCACCGAAGCUGCGGCAGCGACACUGUGUGUUGUUGGGUAGGGGAGCGUUCUGUAAGCCUGCGAAGGUGGCCUGUGAGGGUUGCUGGAGGUAUCAGAAGUGCGAAUGCUGACAUAAGUAACGAUAAAGCGGGUGAAAAGCCCGCUCGCCGGAAGACCAAGGGUUCCUGUCCAACGUUAAUUGGGGCAGGGUGAGUCGACCCCUAAGGCGAGGCCGAAAGGCGUAGUCGAUGGGAAACGGGUUAAUAUUCCCGUACUUGGUGUUACUGCGAAGGGGGGACGGAGAAGGCUAUGUUGGCCGGGCGACGGUUGUCCCGGUUUAAGCGUGUAGGUGUGUGUUCCAGGUAAAUCCGGUUCACUUUAACACUGAGGCGUGACGACGAGGCACUACGGUGCUGAAGCAACAAAUGCCCUGCUUCCAGGAAAAGCCUCUAAGCAUCAGGUAACAUCAAAUCGUACCCCAAACCGACACAGGUGGUCAGGUAGAGAAUACCAAGGCGCUUGAGAGAACUCGGGUGAAGGAACUAGGCAAAAUGGUGCCGUAACUUCGGGAGAAGGCACGCUGACACGUAGGUGAAGUGAUUUACUCAUGGAGCUGAAGUCAGUCGAAGAUACCAGCUGGCUGCAACUGUUUAUUAAAAACACAGCACUGUGCAAACACGAAAGUGGACGUAUACGGUGUGACGCCUGCCCGGUGCCGGAAGGUUAAUUGAUGGGGUCAGCGCAAGCGAAGCUCCUGAUCGAAGCCCCGGUAAACGGCGGCCGUAACUAUAACGGUCCUAAGGUAGCGAAAUUCCUUGUCGGGUAAGUUCCGACCUGCACGAAUGGCGUAAUGAUGGCCAGGCUGUCUCCACCCGAGACUCAGUGAAAUUGAACUCGCUGUGAAGAUGCAGUGUACCCGCGGCAAGACGGAAAGACCCCGUGAACCUUUACUAUAGCUUGACACUGAACAUUGAGCCUUGAUGUGUAGGAUAGGUGGGAGGCUUUGAAGUGUGGACGCCAGUCUGCAUGGAGCCGACCUUGAAAUACCACCCUUUAAUGUUUGAUGUUCUAACGUGGACCCGUUACCCGGGUUGCGGACAGUGUCUGGUGGGUAGUUUGACUGGGGCGGUCUCCUCCUAAAGAGUAAC
rnacentral:rRNA from 1 species